rnacentral:misc_RNA from 1 species
GAAAAAAAGGCCAAGCGAGCAGAAACAGAGAGAAAGACAGAGAAAAGAGGCAGAGGAGAGCACAAGCAUCGAAAGAAAAGGUUUUUGUGUCUUACUCUCUUCUUUGAAGAAGAGAGUGGGAGAGAAUGGAGUUUGAGACAACCAGCAGUUGGAUAUGGGAUGGGGUGCAUCACCACCCACAUGUCUUUGGCUGUUUAAUGUUAACGGCUGCCUUGUUGGGAUUGUCCACCAGCUAUUUUGGUGGAAUUGGACUUUCUUCUUUCCCUUAUAUGUGUUGGGAUCUUGGUUUUUUCUACAAGAUGAGAUGUGAGAAGAAGAAACCCAUUCGCGUUUACAUGGACGGUUGCUUUGAUCUUAUGCAUUAUGGCCAUGCCAAUGCUUUAAGGCAAGCUAAGGCUUUGGGUGAUGAAUUGGUAGUAGGUGUUGUCAGUGAUGAGGAGAUUAUUUCCAAUAAGGGUCCCCCUGUUUUGCCUAUGGAAGAGAGGUUGGCUCUUGUCAGUGGAUUGAAGUGGGUGGAUGAAGUCAUAGCCAAUGCUCCAUAUGCCAUUACAGAGCAGUUCAUGAAAACUCUCUUCAAUGAGCAUAAGAUUGACUAUAUCAUACAUGGUGAUGAUCCUUGUCUGCUUCCUGACGGAACUGAUGCUUAUGCCUUAGCCAAGAGAGCUGGACGCUACAAGCAGAUUAAACGUACUGAAGGGGUCUCCAGCACAGAUAUUGUAGGAAGGAUACUUGCUGUGAAUGAUACAAAAGUUUGUGAUCAUGAUGAUAAAUUGUCUUCACCUGGAGAUUCCUUCACUGGAAAUCAAUCCAGUAGUGCCCAUAUAUCUCAAUUUCUACCUACGUCAUGGCGAAUUGUCCAAUUUUCAAAUGGCAAGGUAUUUCUAAUAUCAUUUUGUGAAUAUUGUAAGGCAUAUGUUUAGAUAUUCUAAAUGAAAACAAUAACAAAUUGCCUUGUUUAAAGCAUGCUUUCAGACUCUCUUUGACAAAGAGGGAAAAGAGAAAAUUAGUUGUUCAUAUAUUGUGAUUAAUAAACUGCGUGAUACCAAAAUGUGUGUAGGAAAUUGCGCUCACUGCUAAAGCUGCGACUUUGUCUGGAUAAAGUUUUUUCUUUUUUUUUUAAUCUUUUUUUAAAAUUUUUUGCAUAAUAUUAAGGUAGUAACCUCUUCAUUUAUUUAUUUAUUUGUUGGGGGAGUGGGGAUAUGGACAAUUUCUUCCUGAUAGUUCAUUAUCAGACAUAAUUGUUUUCAAUUUUAGUUGUAUUAAGAUUUCAAAAAGUUGAUCUAUGUGAGCAGGCUACCAAUGGUAGAUCUAUGGGGUGUGGUAGAGAACCAUAAGAAAAAUCAAUUGGGUGUGGAGGAGAUAUAAAAAAAAGGAUAACAAAUUAUAUGCUGUAUAUUACACCUGCUCAAUUCAAUUCAGUUAAACUUUAAUCCCAAUCUAGUUGGUGAUUGGUUACAUGUGUCUUUUUCCUUCAUUUUACUCAAUUUAGGUCAGCAUAUGUAGAAUGUCUAAUCCUGUGAAAUCUUUCUUUAGUGAAAGGCGCCAAGUCAUCCUAUGUCUGCUUCACAUAUUCUUGAUUCCUUUAACAUAGAAUAUGCUCAAUCUUUAGUAUUGCAUCUGCUGAUCUAUCUUGUACAUGCCCAAAUAUUCAUCAUCCCUUGACUUACUUUCUAGUGGAUGCUAUUUCCACCUUCCUGUCAGAGGCUCCUUAAUGCUUUACAAAGAGCUUUAACCUUUAUGAGCCGAAAAAAGAAAAAAAAAUACAAACUUUUAAUAAGAUGAAAUUUUCUCAUAGAAAUGUAUUAGCAAGAGCAGACUACUGGUAACACUUUCUGGUUCAGAGCGGAGAUGUGUGCUGAUGUGCCUAAAGCAAGUACCUUAUUGUUAAUUUUAUUCAUUAAGACACUAAGGUUGAUUAUUCAGGGCUUUGAUCAUUGUAUUAGCCCAUCACUUUUCUAGCCAGAUGUAUUAUGCCACAUUAUAUUUUUGUUGCUUUGUAUGGGUAGAAUUCUUUUUCAGGACAAUUUGGUGGUUAGGGUUCACUUAUAAUUUCUUUCUUUGUUUUGUUUUGAAGAGACAUGACAGAGGGAGGCAGGGACCUGGACCAAAUGCUCAUGUUGUGUACAUUGAUGGGGCAUUUGAUCUCUUCCAUGCUGGACAUGUGGAGAUUCUCAGGUGUGCUAGGCAGCUUGGAGAUUUUCUGCUGGUUGGGAUCCACACUGACCAGAUUGUGAGUGAACACAGGGGGAAGCACUACCCAAUUAUGCAUCUGCAUGAGCGUAGUCUUAGUGUGCUGGCUUGCCGUUAUGUUGAUGAAGUCAUCAUGGGUGCACCUUGGGAAGUUUCCAAAGAUAUGAUUACAACUUUCAACAUCUCUUUGGUUGUGCAUGGAACUAUUGCAGAGUGCAACUCCAUGUUGGCUGGCAUAGCUGAUCCCUAUGCAGUUCCAAAGAGCAUGGGAAUUUUCCGAAUUCUUGAAAGCCCUAAACGUAUUACUACCACUUCAGUGGCUCAAAGGAUUGUUGCCAAUCAUGAGGCUUACAUGAAACGCAACGCCAAGAAGGCAGAAAGUGAGAAAAAGUACUAUGCAGCGAAGGUCUAUGUAUCAGGAGAUUAGUGGAGAGCUAGUUUUGUGUACACUUCAUCUAACGUCCCAUAGAAAUGCCUUUUUGCUCAAGACGCAAGUCUCAUAAUUUUGUUAGUGUGAAGGAGAUGAGAACGGAGCAAAAGAAGCUCU